rnacentral:snRNA from 1 species
AUGGUGGCGAUCCAAUGGUAGA